rnacentral:tRNA from 1 species
GCUGUCAUGUUGUAAAUGGUUAAUACGUUCAACUGGCAACUGAAAGUUCUGUGGUUCGAAUCCCAGCGAGAGCG